ACACUGAUGGUGAAGCGGUUAUCAUGCUUGCCUUCCAUGACGCAUUCCAUCUAAUGUCAGCAAGCGGCAGGGGUUCGACUCCCCUUCAGUGUA